rfam:Musa acuminata subsp. malaccensis Doubled-haploid Pahang (DH-Pahang) genomic chromosome, chr2
GGCCUAAGAUGUGAGAAUAAUAUUUGCUACUCUUGAUGGGGUCACCCAUUUGAUGAUCCUUAUCCACCAAGAUCUCUGAGGCC